rnacentral:rRNA from 1 species
GACGAACGCUGGCGGCGUGCUUAACACAUGCAAGUCGAACGGAGAACCGCGUCGGAGGGGAUCAGUGGCGAACGGGUGAGUAACACGUGGACAACCGGCCCCCGGCCCUGGGAUAACUCCAAGAAAUUGGGGCUAAUACCGGAUGUUCACCGCUUCCCGCAUGGGUGGUGGUGAAAAGGCUUUCCGGCUGGGGAUGGGCCCGCGGCUAAUCAGCUGGUUGGUGGGGUAGUGGCCUACCAGGGCGACGACGGGUAGCCGGCCUUGGAGGGUGACCGGCCUCCCUGCGCCUGCGACACGGCGCAGACUCCUACGUGAGGCAGCAGUGGGGAAUAUUGCGCAACGGGCGGAAGCCUGACGCAGCGACGCCGCGUGCGGGAUGCCGGCCUUCGGGUUGUAAACCUCUUUCUGCAGAGACGAAGCGAAAGUGACGGUACCUGCAGAAGAAGCACCGGCCAACUACGUG